GAUGAACGCUGGCGGCGUGCCUAAUACAUGCAAGUCGAGCGAACAGACGAGGAGCUUGCUCCUCUGACGUUAGCGGCGGACGGGUGAGUAACACGUGGAUAACCUACCUAUAAGACUGGGAUAACUUCGGGAAACCGGAGCUAAUACCGGAUAAUAUAUUGAACCGCAUGGUUCAAUAGUGAAAGACGGUUUUGCUGUCACUUAUAGAUGGAUCCGCGCCGCAUUAGCUAGUUGGUAAGGUAACGGCUUACCAAGGCAACGAUGCGUAGCCGACCUGAGAGGGUGGUCGGCCACCGUGGAACUGAGGCCGGGACCAGAAUACUAAGGGAGGGAGCAGUCAGGAAUCUUCCCAAAUGGGGGAAAGCCUGGCGGAACCACGCCGCGCGGGUUACGAAAGUCCUCGGAUCGUAAAAACCUGUUAUUAGGGAAGAACAAAUGUGUAAGUAACUAUGCACGUCUUGACGGUACCUAAUCAGAAAGCCACGGCUAACUACGUG
rnacentral:rRNA from 1 species